rnacentral:tRNA from 5 species
GCCCCUGUAGCUUAAGUAGAUAAAGCCCCAGACUCCUAAGCUGGUGAUCCACGUGCAAGUCGUGGCGGGGGCA